UACAGAGGGGGCAAGCGUUAUUCGGAAUUAUUGGGCGUAAAGGGUGCGUAGGCGGGCAGGUAAGUCCGUGGUGAAAUCUCUGAGCUUAACUCAGAAACUGCCGUGGAUACUAUUUGUCUUGAAUAUUGUGGAGGUAAGCGGAAUAUGUCAUGUAGCGGUGAAAAUGCUUAGAUAUGACAUAGAACACCAAUUGCGAAGGCAGCUUACUACACAGUUAUUGACGCUGAGGCACGAAAGCGUGGGGAUCAAACAGG
rnacentral:rRNA from 1 species